UAUGUUAGUUGCCAUCAUUCAGUUGGGCACUCUAGCGAGACUGCCGGGUAAUAAACCGGAGGAAGUGGGAUGACGUCAAAUCAUCAUGCCCCUUAUGACCUGGGCUACACACGUGCUACAAUGGUUGGUACAACGAGUUGCGAGUCGGUGACGGCGAGCUAAUCUCUUAAAGCCAAUCUCAGUUCGGAUUGUAGGCUGCAACUCGCCUACAUGAAGUCGGAAUCGCUAGUAAUCGCGGAUCAGCACGCCGCGGUGAAUACGUUCCCGGGCCUU
rnacentral:rRNA from 1 species